GUACACUCCUGCGGGAGGCAGCAGUAGGGAAUCUUCGGCAAUGGGGGCAACCCUGACCGAGCAACGCCGCGUGAGUGAAGAAGGUUUUCGGAUCGUAACGCUCUGUUGUAAGUCAAGAACGAGUGUGAGAGUGGAAAGUUCACACUGUGACGGUAGCUUACCAGAAAGGGACGGCUAACUACGUGCCAGCAGCCGCGGUAAUACGUAGGUCCCGAGCGUUGUCCGGAUUUAUUGGGCGUAAAGCGAGCGCAGGCGGUUUGAUAAGUCUGAAGUUAAAGGCUGUGGCUCAACCAUAGUUCGCUUUGGAAACUGUCAAACUUGAGUGCAGAAGGGGAGAGUGGAAUUCCAUGUGUAGCGGUGAAAUGCGUAGAUAUAUGGAGGAACACCGGUGGCGAAAGCGGCUCUCUGGUCUGUAACUGACGCUGAGGCUCGAAAGCGUGGGGAGCGAACAGGAUUAGAAACCCUAGUAGUCCCAUGA
rnacentral:rRNA from 1 species